rnacentral:tRNA from 2 species
CGGGGCGUGGCGCAGUCCGGUAGCGCGCGCGGUUUGGGUCCGCGAGGUCCUCGGUUCAAAUCCGGGCGCCCCGA